AAAAUAAUCCUACCCUUUGUGAAUUUUGUUUGUUUGAAUAAUUUUUUUUUAAAAAAUUAUUGGAGUCUUUCCCUUUAGGUUUGCUUUUGAGUUUGUAAAAGAAUUCGAAAACAUCUAAAGGGGAUGGUCAAUAGUUUUUUUGAAAAAAGACAUUUUUUAAAAUUAAACUUUUUGUAUUCAUUUGUCUAAAAAUUAUUUUUAUAAUAUAAAAACAACUUUUGACAAUGGAUCUCUUGGUUCUCGCAACGAUGAAGAACGCAGCAAAAUGCGAUAAGUAGUGUGAAUUGCAGAAUACGUGAAUCAUCGAAUCUUUGAACGCAUAUUGCACUUUUUUAGUUUACUAAAAAAGUAUGUCUGUUUGAGUAUCAGUAAAAUAUUCUCAUAAAAAUCAUUGUAUUUUUAUGGUUAUGAGUGUUUUACAACGAUACAAGUUGUUUCACUUUAAAUUUUUUUUUAAUAUUGAAAUUUUUCUAAUUUUAAUAAUUAAAAUUGGAUAAAAUUUUCCCGUCAAAAGGAAUAACCUAAACAAUUUUAAAUGAUUAAUUUUAGCAAAAUUUUCGUAAAAAAGGAAAAUUUUUAUUAAAAUAACUUGAUCUCAAAUCAGAUAAGAGUACCCGCUGAACUUAAGCAUAUCAAUAAGCGGAGGAAAAGAAACUAACAAGGAUUCCCUUAGUAACGGCGAGUGAAGCGGGAAGAGCUCAAAUUUGAAAUCUUCAAGGUUUUACCUUGACGAAUUGUAGUUUAAAGAAGUGUUUUCUGCUGAAGUUUUGGUAAAAGUUCUUUGGAAUAGGACAUCAUAGAGGGUGAGAAUCCCGUAUUUGACCAUUAUUUUCAGCUUUGUGAUACACUUUCAAAGAGUCGGAUUGUUUGGGAAUGCAGUCCAAAAUGGGUGGUAAAUUUCAUCUAAAGCUAAAUAUUGGCGAGAGACCGAUAGCGAACAAGUACCGUGAGGGAAAGAUGAAAAGAACUUUGAAAAGAGAGUUAAACAGUACGUGAAAUUGUCAAAAGGGAAGCGUUUGACACCAGUGUUGUUUUCUCGAAAAUCAAUUAAAAAUGGCUCGAUUUUGUAUCGCUGAGACCUUAAAAGCUCACUGUACGUUUUUCGUGUCUUUUUUAAUGCACUUUUCGUUUAACAAGUCAACAUCAGUUUCCUUUGUUGUAAAAGGGUCAUUGGAAAGUGGCUUUCUUUUCGGAGAAAGUGUUUAUAGCCUUUGGCCUCUGCAAUCGGAGAGACUGAGGUCUGCAGCGUAGACUCUUCGGGGUUAGGUACAUUUGUGCUAAGUUAUAGCUUUUUAUAGACAACUUGUUGACUAUAAUUAGUCUCGUAGCUACUCGCUUAUGCUAUUU
rnacentral:misc_RNA from 1 species